UAGUAAACAUGGUCAAAUUGAUCUGUAACCCUUUUAGAUGGUGUAGGUUUAUUCAUAGAGAUAUAUAUACUAACACAUGUACAUACAUUGUACAUGCCAGAUUUACGAUGUAAUUUACUACAUCUGGACAUGCCAUACUAAGUUUUACUUUCUUGUUGUUUGACUACAAGUUUACUUUGUAAAUAAAACAAAAUUUAAAACGGAACAAAAAAUUAAAAUAGAUAUACACAUAUACAUUGUACAUGUAUAUAAAUUAUAAACAUCAAAUGCAAUGUUUUGUAACAAUAUUCAAAGUUUUAUCUCAACUUUACUUCUCAACAACACUAAAAUUUCAAAAUAUGAGAACAGAAGCUAUUUGUCCUCCUCUAGUGCUUAAUUUUAUGGAAUAAAUAUCAUAUUCGCUCUGAACAGAGACAUGAAUAACAUAAUAGUAUGCCUCUGUGUACAUGUACAAUUCUUCCAUGCACUCUUAGAAAAGAUUAAAAUGUAAAACAAAAUUCUGAGCGUAUAUGAAUAAAUCACAUCAUGAAACUGAUACCACCGCGAUAAUGUACAAGUAAGUAUACAUCAAAAUAGUUAGGAUAAAAUGACCCGGGGCGAAUCAGCCAUUGGUCAAAACACCGUAAAACCUAUAUUUUCGAAGGAAGUCAUGUGUUCGGAGAUUAUAUAUCAAAUUAAGAGUCUGGGACAGUUGUUUUUUUUAGUGAUUUAUCAGUAUUUGAUACUUGCUCAAAGAUGGAUCUUACCCACAUAUUUGGACAAAGAAUAGAGAUUUUCAUGGGAUUUUUCUCAAGAGGUCUAAUGCAGAAUAAAAAUUAGGAGUCUGAACAGAAGUGAAUAUGUCACUUUGUGUAUCAAUGGACUAAACCUAUCUUGAGCUGGUACCGGUUUUCUGAGCAACAAUGUGGGAAGGCAGCAGUGGUCCACCGUCUCAGUUUUGCCACAGUCCAGGGUCAGCACCAAGCUACAUGUAUAGGACUCCUACCUAAUUACUAAAAGUAUCAUUAUGAAGAAUUUUACAAGACUUCUUGAUGACUGGAAAGACAUAUUAAUUCUGAUUGAAUUUACACGUGGUUGAUAAUAGCUUUGUCAACACAAUAGCCAAAUAUGAACCUAGUAUACCAUUUAAGCAUUAUUUAACAAAUAUAAGUCAGACAGUUUAAAAUUUGAUGAUCCUAUAAGUAAAGGAAAAAUUACAGUCUUUAGAUAUAUUCAAUUCAUUUCAGUUGUUUUUUAUGCAUAUGCAUGAUUGUACAUGUAUAAAUACAUGUAUAUGACUUUUUUAAUCAAGUAUACAUAUAUAGCUGAUGUAGUGACAUGGAUAUAAUCAGAAUUGAUAAUAUGUGUAUAGGUAUUCUGUAUUACUUUAUCUAGGUUGGAUCUUGAAAGCAGGUGUAUGGUACACUGUAUCAUAAAGAUGAUUUUUUUCACUCUUUGUUUACAGUUACUGUCAUGAAGGACAUACGAAGAGAUUUUUUUCUUUGAUUCCUUUUACUUAUAUAUAUAGUAGUCUCCUGGGGCCAUAAUACAAUCACCUAGUAACAGUAUUGUUUGAAUUAUAUACCAUAGAUGGGUUUCUGUGUGCACUGAUUUACUUGUACUCAUCCAUGUUCAUGUACAAAUACAAUUGCAUUUUGUAUAUGUUUGUGCAUUUGCUGAUAAUUUCAAGCACCAUAAAAUCUGUUGUAUUAAUUCAUUUUGUAAACUGCAGCAUAUUUUGACAGAUGGGGUAUGGUUACAUAAUUAUAUACUAGAAAAAUGUAUACGGUAUAUCCCAUUUCAUUUUCUUGAGCGGAAGGGGGGGGGGGGGGGGGUCAGUGCCUAUGCACAUGAGUAUUCUACGUUAAUAAGUUUGCAUUUUACACUUACCCUACAGACUGCCCCUCCUCUGUAAUUGUUUUUGUUCAUGAUCGAAUAUUAAUUCAUAUACAUGUACCAAUUGAUCCAAUAAAUGUAAAUGAUA